UGAACAUUUAUUUUUAGCUCAUUAAGGCCCAAAUUUGAAGCCGAACACCUUACCAUGCCAAGUCUUCAUCAGAUUUUCUUUUUGGAAUUAAAAAUAAAACCAUAGAAAGAUCUAGCUCUCUUCACCUAAAUACACAAAAGAAGACAAGCCAAAAAAUAACUCUUGAACCCUGAAAGAAGCAACAACCGCCACCCCAACUCUCUCUCAAAUCCGUCGCCGACCAACAACACCCAGUGACACCUAACCCUUCUCCAAACACACCCUAGGACCCCUGACUUCUUCUUCUGCAGAACCUAGACGGCACAAAAACGACCGCUGACCACUCCCGUUCUCACCAACAGCAACCAACGACCACUCCAAUUCCGCUCGCACAGACCCACCAUCUCCUCAAAUCUGACCAACAACUCCUCACCACAAAAUCCAGCGAGUCUCCAACACUAGCACACAUAUAGACACAAAGAAACGAGAAAGGAUUUUUUCUAGGUUCGAAAAUUGGAAGCGAAUUGCUGUUCAUUUUUGUUUUCGAUUUUCGGUUUGGCUAAAAAGAAAAGAGAAAUGGAAUUCAAUUGAGGUUGAGGUCGACUCAGGUUCAUCUGUAUGGAGUCUAUUCGUGGUUCUGUUGCGUCUCUGUUUGAAGUUGACUACCGUUGCAAAUUCCGACCGUAGCUGCUGAUCCAUCUUGUUCGUGUAAUUACGAAAAUUUCCAUCAGUUAAAGCUUAUCAUUCAUGCUACCAAUCAGUUAAGUUACAGAUUCAUUGAUGCUCUGUGAUGUUGAAUGAGUUCUUACCUCAUUGAGAAUGCCUUAGUAUGUCUUUACUCUGCUUGAUUUUGUUGUUUAGUAUUAUGUGUGUUUGAAUGAGUUUGAUGGUUAUGCUGAAUUUGUUAUUUACUAUUGCAACUCUUCAUUAAGAGGUAAAUGUUUUAGGCUUCAAGACUAUUUUUUGCUUACGUAGGAAUUUAAAUCGUAAUAAUUUAAAUCAUUACUUAAUUAGGUCAAUUUAAAAAUAAGUGCUAGGCUAUGGGAAUGGGACUGUCAGAUACAUGAAAUGAAUAUUUUACUUUAGUUCUAUUUUUAAUUUUUUUAUUGAUUCGUUAGGAGCAUGUGUAGGUCAACCACGCUCGGGUAGGCAUUAAGAUUUUUUGUAUUUUUGAGGCGAGAGGUCGUUCCCUUAGUCGAAUUUAUCCGGGGAAUGCCCCUAAGGAUUUGUAUAUAUUUUUAUCCGGAGUAUGCCCAGAAGUAUUUGUAUUUCGAGGCCGAAAGUAGAAUUCGUAGAAUUUUUAUUUUUAUUUUUUUCUUUUAAUAGGUAGGGACGACCUCGAGCUUCUUGUGUAUUUAUUAUUUUUCUUUAUUUUGCGUUUGUCUUUUUGCCUCAAAUUGAAUAUUUUAAAAGCCAACUUGAUUAUGUACAUCACCGUACUAAUUACGGGAUUUGAGGAAUGCCUAACACCUUCUCCCCGAGUCAAAUGAAUCCCCUUACCUGAAUCUCUGGUGCAGACUUAGUUUUAGAGUCCAAAGUAUUUUAAAAGGAAAAUCAUUUUAAAAAACGGUGACUGGCACACCGAAAUCAUUGUCAGGUGGCGACUCUGAGUUAUUUUUUUUGAACAUAAUUUUUUGUCACUCUCAUAAUUUGAAAACACUUUUGAGCUUUACUAAAUCUUUUUAUUAUUUUAAGAGGGUUUAGUGAGUUGGUAAACAAUGAGUGUGACAGCUCUCGCGACUCUGAUGGGGAGUUGCAGGUUCGAGUUGAUAUUUGAUGUUGUUGGCUUUUUUAUAUUUUUUACAACCCCUCCCAAAUUAAGAGGAUCUAUAGUGUUUCCACACUUCCCCUCCAUGGUGCUUUUACCAACUGAGCAAGCCUCACUUGUCCUUGUUGACUUUUAGAAUAUUCGAUUGAGGUGUUUAUGUUUUUUUGGGCUUUAUCUGAAUUUUAUUAUGUUUUUAUACUUUGUUAUUAUUUGCUAGCGUUUUAUGUAUUUUACAAUUUUCUUUGUAUGUGUAUUAACUGUCAUCAUUUGCAUAAUCUUGGGUCUUCUUUCUGUAACAAGUCUUCCGGAGUACGUUUGAGUGUAUACGGCCUUUUCGCGAGUCACCCGUGUCUUUAGGGGGUGGCCUGGGAGUGUGGAGUGGGCGGAAUACUAGAGCAGCCGCCAUCGACCACAUGCCACCCCAAAUUUUCUUGUCUAGUGAAUCCCAAACGUAGGUCACCCUUUAGGUCAUGCUUAUUUUCAUCUUAUCAUUUAAACUUAGCAGGAUUCGGUCUCAGGCACCGUAUCCCAUUGUAGGAGGCUUAUCCAAAUUAUGCUAAAAUAGACUUAUAGCCCAAAAAUACAUUUAAUCAUCCUUAUGUGCUACAUGUUGCAUUUCUUUAGGGGGUAUGAAGGAUCAUUCGGUGGACCAAUAAAAAUUUAGGGUGCAGUAUAAAAUGAGGCAAGUGGGGCCACUCGCAUUUUUCUUUCAUAGUUUUUCAAAAAAAAAAUAAAUGUAAGUGAAAUAAUUCAAAAAAAUUUUGCACUUCCCCACCAUUUUUUAAAAAAUCAAAAAAAGAAAAAGAAAAAGAAAAAGAAAAUCAAAAAGAUUUUACAUUUUUCAUCAUUUUUAAAAAAAAUAAAAAAUAGAUUUUCCUAAUUAGUUGCAUUUUUUUUUAAAAAAAAAAGCUUUCUUCCAUGUCCGAUCUUCCCGAACUACACAUACAUGCUUCUCGUAUCUCGGGACUGGAUACGUAGGCAACCCAUAUAGGGUCCAAUUUGUCUAGUAAGUCUUAGGUUCUUGACUUUGCAGGGUAUUAGCCAAAUCUUGCAUGCUUAGCCACUUUUGGCCACAUCGGCCAUUCUUGCAAUGAGUCAUUUUUCCAAAAAAUGAUCCAAUUACCGAUGUCUUAGAAUCUUAUGUCCACAACUAGGUGUCAUAUUACUUUAAGGUUCAUUCUUUUUGAGUUUGCAUCUCUAGCCACUUCUGGCCAUAUCAGUUGUUUUUGCAAAAUGAGUCAUUUCUGCAAAUUAAUUUUUGGGCCAUGAUUAUUGGGAGUUGAAUCCAUAUAAGCAUUGGUAAGGUAUUUUCAUAUCUGAGUAGUCACCCUUGUUGAUUUUACACUUACAGCCACUCUUGGGAACAUAGGUUAAUUUUUAAAAAAUAGCCUAAUCGUGUCUUGCAUGUGUCCAACCGGAGGUGUUGUGGUGUCGCAUAGUGUCUUGAGUCACUAAUAUUUAGUCUUAUUUUUCUCAUUCAGGUGUUGAUCCAUGUACCAGGGCUUGAGCAUGAUAGAUACCUCAGGACCACUGCAUUCAUGAGCUGCUUGAUGAGCCUUUUAAUGUUUUUGAGUCUAUUGUUCAUGUUUACUUCCUAGUCGUAACAGUAGUAUUUCAGAGUUGUCGUAGUAUAGUUUAGUUUGUCGAGUCUCUCAUUAUCGUACUUCCCAUUUUGUACUUGAAAAUCGAAUUUUUUUUUAUAAAAAUGAAA
rnacentral:lncRNA from 1 species